GUACUCAUUUUGGCAGCACAUACACUAAAAUUGGAACGAUACAGAGAAGAUUAGCAUGGCCCCUGCACAAGGAUGACAUGCAAAUUCAUGAAGCCAUCCACAUCCAC